rnacentral:rRNA from 1 species
CACGUAGGGCGCAAGCGUUGUCCGGAAUUACUGGGCGUAAAGCGCACGUAGGUGGUCCGUCAAGUUCGGCGUGAAAUCUCCAGGCUCAACUUGGAGGGUCGUCGAAGACUGGCGGACUAGGGUCUGGCAGAGGCAGGUAGAAUUCCCGGUGGAGCGGUGAAAUGCGUAGAAGAUCGGGAGGAACACCGGUGGGCGAAGGCGGUUCUCUGGACGAGUUCCUGACACUGAGACACGAAGGCCAGGGGAGCAAAGCGGG